CCUGCACUAUUUGACGUUACCUACAGAAGAAGCACCGGCUAACUCCGUGCCAGCAGCCGCGGUAAUACGGAGGGUGCGAGCGUUAAUCGGAAUUACUGGGCGUAAAGCGCAUGCAGGCGGCCUGUUAAGUCAGAUGUGAAAGCCCGGGGCUUAACCUCGGAAUUGCAUUUGAAACUGGCAGGCUAGAGUCUUGUAGAGGGGGGUAGGAAUUUCAGGUGUAGCGGUGAAAUGCGUAGAGAUCUGAAGGAAUACCAGUGGCGAAGGCGGCCCCCUGGACAAAGACUGACGCUCAGAUGCGAAAGCGGUGGGGAGCAAACAGGAUUAGAUACCCUGGUAG
rnacentral:rRNA from 1 species